rnacentral:lncRNA from 1 species
GAUUUCUCUUCGGUGUGCUAAUCAUGGUCACAGCGACUCUUCAAGAUGAGGGAUCAGGAGCUUGAUAAUCGAAUGUGGACAAUGUGGAACAUCCAGUGGACAGAGAAAAGGGGCGUGGACUCAAGCGACCAGUCACCGUCCUCCAUUCCUUUGGUUUCUUCACCUGACAAGUGCAUCAGAGACUAUGUACCUCGCUUAAAACAGCUAAACCCAUGUCAACUAAAAGUCCAGUCCUGCACUCUGAGAACUCAUGAUGUGAUGCAAAUACACAGAUGCUCAAGUCAGAAGAGGUUUCUGUCUCAUUGUCACCUUGGAAAGAUGGUUCAUCAUCUGAGCCUUGUGGCCCAGUGGACAGUGAAGGUGAUGAUAAUACUUACCUUGCUUCUUAUGAAAAUGAGCAGGACCAUCACACAUAAAUUUCUUUGAGAAUAAGUUAUACAACUGUUACACAUGACAAUGAAUAUUCAUAAGCAGGAAAGGCAAGGGAAAUUCACAUUUAUAAGCUAAUGAUUAUGAAGCGCUUCCUGAGUAAUUUGAACAAGAGUUACAUGGAUCAUUCCAUUAAUUUAAACAAGAGCCUUUAGGGGGCUGGUACCUUUAUCAUCUCCAGUUUAGAUGAAGAGACUGACACCCAGAGAUUUUAAGUAACAGACAGCAAAUGGCAGGGUCAGAAUAUCAAGUCUUGGUAAUUUAGUGCCAGCAGUGAGCAUUUUAACACCAGAUGCCUCAACACCACCUGAAGGUCUGGAUACAACAGACAUUGCUGAGUCCCACCCCAAAGGUUCUGAUUCAGUAGCUUUGAGAAUUUGGUUUCUAAGACGUUCCCAGGUGACGCUGAUGCUGCUGGACUGGGGGCCACACGGUGAGAAUUCUGUCACACAGAGCUCUCCUGGUACUUCCUGCCCCAUCAGUGUCUAAAUCAGGACCUCUGAGGCCUGUUUGCACAGGUGAGCUGGACAUCUGUGUGCACAAGGUAUUUGAUUUAUGUCAUGAAGGCAUUUGCUACACUAAUGGGCAAAAUAGAUAAGGAUGCUGAGGAGACUGACUUCAGAAGCAAAGUGAGAGAAGUUGCUCAGUGCUUGAUGGCUCUGCUGCUACCCAAAUCGUUGUAGCUCUGGCUACUCAGACCCUUCCCCAGAGCUGGCCAGGGGAGGGGAGGCCAUUGUCUGAGGAAGACACAGAGAACAGACUCACAGCUGGCUUCCUUGGCUUCCCUCAGUUUUGCCCUUUUAGCAGGUCACACUCUCAGAUUUCAGAAAUCUAUGAAUGGAGAGAUAAGACAUAACUUGCAAGAAGAGAAAGCAUAGGCCAAGAAGAUGUAAACUUAAUAGACGGGAAACAGUGGAAACAGUGUCAGACUUUAUUUUUGGGGGGGCUCCAAAA